rnacentral:siRNA from 1 species
UAACCUAGAACCCACAAAGGGU